UACAGAGGUCUCAAGCGUUGUUCGGAUUCAUUGGGCGUAAAGGGUGCGUAGGUGGCGCUGUAAGUCGGGUGUGAAAUUUCGGAGCUUAACUCCGAAACUGCAUUCGAUACUGCGGUGCUUGAGGACUGGAGAGGAGACUGGAAUUCAUGGUGUAGCAGUGAAAUGCGUAGAUAUCUGGAGGAAUACCGGUGGCGAAGGCGGCAUCCUGGACCAUUACUGACGCUGAAUCGCGAAAGCUAGGGGAGCAAACGGG
rnacentral:rRNA from 1 species